GAUGAACGCUAGCGGGAGGCCUAAUACAUGCAAGUCGAGCGGUAGAGUGACUUCGGUUGCUUGAGAGCGGCGCACGGGUGAGUAACGCGUACAUGACCUACCUUUAAGACUGGGAUAGCCCUGGGAAACUGGGAUUAAUACCGGAUGUGAUAAUACGUAUAGAGAUGUAUUAUUAAAGUUGAGGCGCUUAGAGAUGGAUGUGCGUCUGAUUAGCUAGUGUAGGUAACGGCCUACAAGGCGACGAUCAGUAGGGGCGUGAGAGCGUGGCCCCCCANACGGGUACUGAGACACGGACCCGACUCCUACGGGA
rnacentral:rRNA from 1 species